rnacentral:rRNA from 1 species
AGUGAACGCUGGCGGUAGGCCUAACACAUGCCAGUCGAACGGCAGCACAGUAAGAGCUUGCUCUUACGGGUGGCGAGUGGCGGACGGGUGAGGAAUACAUCGGAAUCUACUUUUUCGUGGGGGAUAACGUAGGGAAACUUACGCUAAUACCGCAUACGACCUACGGGUGAAAGCAGGGGAUCUUCGGACCUUGCGCGAUUGAAUGAGCCGAUGUCGGAUUAGCUAGUUGGCGGGGUAAAGGCCCACCAAGGCGACGAUCCGUAGCUGGUCUGAGAGGAUGAUCAGCCACACUGGAACUGAAACACGGUCCAGACUCCUACGGGAGGCAGCAGUGGGGAAUAUUGGACAAUGGGCGCAAGCCUGAUCCAGCCAUACCGCGUGGGUGAAGAAGGCCUUCGGGUUGUAAAGCCCUUUUGUUGGGAAAGAAAAGCAGCAGGUUAAUACCCCGCUGUUCUGACGGUACCCAAAGAAUAAGCACCGGCUAACUUCGUG